GUGUGGGCCCUUACAGAGGUGGUGCAGAUGCGGUGUGGGCCCUUACAGAGGUGGAGCAGAUGCGGUGUGGGCCCUUACAGAGGUGGUGCAGAUGCGGUGUGGGCCUCUACAGAGGUGGAGCAGAUGCGGUGUGGGCCUCUACAGAGGUGGUGCAGAUGCGGUGUGGGCCUCUACAGAGGUGGAGCAGAUGCGGUGUGGGCCCUUACAGAGGUGGAGCAGAUGCGGUGUGGGCCUCUACAGAGGUGGUGCAGAUGCGGUGUGGGCCCUUACAGAGGUGGAGCAGAUGCGGUG